ACCGGAGGGUUAAGAAAGCAGAGUCUGUGAAGUGAGGCUCUGCUGAUACCCCCCUCCUACAAAAAACGGACGUUGGAGAGCAGCCUAUGCUUAGUAACUGGCUGAGGCUGACUGCAUCAUCCCACACGC